rnacentral:rRNA from 1 species
GAGUUUGAUCAUGGCUCAGAACGAACGCUGGGGGCGUGCUUAACACAUGCAAGUCGCACGAGAAAGUCCCUUCGGGGGUGAGUACAGUGGCGCACGGGUGAGUAACACGUAGGUAACCUACCCCUAAGACUGGGAUAACCCGCCGAAAGGCGAGCUAAUACCGGAUAAGACCACGGGGGUUCCGGCCCCCGAGGUAAAAGGUGGCCUCUGCAUGCAAGCUACCACUUGGAGAUGGGCCUGCGUACCAUUAGCUUGUUGGUGGGGUAAUGGCCUACCAAGGCGAAAAUGGUUAGCUGGUCUGAGAGGAUGAUCAGCCACACUGGGACUGAGACACGGCCCAGACUCCUACGGGAGGCAGCAGUGGGGAAUCUUGGGCAAUGGGCGAAAGCCUGAGCCAGCAACGCCGCGUGGGUGAUGAAGGCCCUCGGGUCGUAAAGCCCUGUCAGAGGGAACGAACAAAUGCAAAGCGAAUAGCUUUGCAUCUUGACGGUACCUUCAGAGGAAGCACCGGCUAACUCCGUGCCAGCAGCCGCGGUAAUACGGAGGGUGCUAGCGUUGUUCGGAAUUACUGGGCGUAAAGCGCGUGUAGG